rnacentral:rRNA from 1 species
CCUACGGGAGACAGCAGUGGGGAAUAUUGGACAAUGGGGGGAACCCUGAUCCAGCGACGCCGCGUGGAGGAUGAAGGUUUUCGGAUUGUAAACUCCUUUUGUUAGAGAAGAUAAUGACGGUAUCUAACGAAUAAGCACCGGCUAACUCCGUGCCAGCAGCCGCGGGAAUACGGAGGGUGCAAGCGUUACUCGGAAUCACUGGGCGUAAAGAGCGCGUAGGCGGGAUAGCAAGUCAGAUGUGAAAUCCUAUGGCUUAACCAUAGAACUGCAUUUGAAACUGUUAUUCUAGAGUAUGGGAGAGGUAGGUGGAAUUCUUGGUGUAGGGGUAAAAUCCGUAGAGAUCAAGAGGAAUACUCAUUGCGAAGGCGACCUGCUAGAACAUAACUGACGCUGAUGCGCGAAAGCGUGGGGAGCAAACAGGAUUAGAUACCCCAGUAGUC